rnacentral:rRNA from 1 species
ACUACGGAGAGUUUGAUCCUGGCUCAGGACGAACGCUGGCGGCGUGCUUAACACAUGCAAGUCGUACGAGAACGAGGUAGCAAUACCUUUAGUAAAGUGGCGCACGGGUGCGUAACACGUAAGUAACCUGCCUUUAGGUCUGGAAUAACCCCGCGAAAGCGGGACUAAUACCGGAUGAUGCAGCGGAUCCGCAUGGAUAUGUUGUUAAAGUCUAUACGGCACCUAAAGAUGGGCUUGCGUCCGAUUAGCUAGUUGGUAAGGUAACGGCUUACCAAGGCUACGAUCGGUAGCUGGUCUGAGAGGAUGAUCAGCCACACUGGAACUGAGACACGGUCCAGACUCCUACGGGAGGCAGCAGUGAGGAAUAUUGGGCAAUGCCCGCAAGGGUGACCCAGCAACGCCGCGUGGAGGAUGAAUGCCGUAAGGUUGUAAACUCCUGUUAGAGGGGAAGAACAAUCCCGAUCAACUCGGGACAUGACUGUACCCUCAGAGAAAGCCCCGGCUAACUACGUGCCAGCAGCCGCGGUAAUACGUAGGGGGCUAGCGUUGUCCGGAUUUACUGGGUGUAAAGGGCGCGCAGGUGGGUCUGCAAGUCAGGGGUGAAAUCUCACGGCUUAACCGUGAAAGUGCCUUUGAUACUGCAAAUCUUGAGUUCGGAAGAGAGAGACGGAAUUCCAGGUGUAGUGGUGAAAUACGUAGAUAUCUGGAAGAACACCAGUUGCGAAGGCGGUCUCUUGGUCCGAUACUGACGCUCAGGCGCGAAAGCGUGGGUAGCAAACAGGAUUAGAUACCCUGGUAGUCCACGCUGUAAACGAUGAAUACUAGGUGUUGGCUCUUUUAGGGUCAGUGCCGCAGCUAACGCAUUAAGUAUUCCACCUGGGGAGUACGAUCGCAAGGUUGAAACUCAAAGGAAUUGACGGGGGCCCGCACAAGCAGUGGAGCAUGUGGUUUAAUUCGAUGCAACGCGAAGAACCUU